ACUUUCUUAUAUCUUUUGGUAUCAUGAUAUGGAGACCCUUUAUUUGAGAAUGUGCAUCCCUCUUUUUAAAAAUGUUACACCUCUUGAACUGCAUUAUGCACAAUUUAUUAAGGGCUAAAUAUUUAUUUUUGAUGCCAAUGUGCAAGUUAUUUGAAGAUUAAUUGCUAAAUAUGAAAUGUAUGCAUUUAUAAUAGACAGAACUCUGUAUUGUAGGUUGCUUUAGCUAUUUUUUUUUGGCUAGACAUGGAAGUUCAGCCUCCCGAAAAUAUAUGUUGGAAUGCAUCAGGGGACCAAAAUUCGUUCCUUGUGGGGCACAGCUCAGUUGUUUUUGCAUCCUCGUUACAUGCAUCGUGGUGCUUCUAGGUAGUUAUUUCUAUUUCUAUUUUGCUACUUGAAUAUGAUAACUGUGCUCACAAAAUUCUUGGGUUUGCCGUAGUGCAAGUCAAGAAAGCCAUGGAGGUUACGCAUUAUCUAGGGGGCGAAAAUUAUGUUUUCUGGGGUGGUCGGGAGGGUUAUCAGACCCUUUUAAACACAGAUAUGGAAAGAGAGCUUGAUCAUAAGGGUUUAUGGAAGCUGCUGUUGCCUUCAAGAAGAAAAUUGGAUUCAACGGUACUUGUAUAUUCAAUUUGUCAUGCACCAUUUAUUAGCAGAAUAGAAUUGUACUGUGAAAAAUAAAUAACUUUAUCGAACUAAACAUUGCUUUGGUGCUAUCAAUCUAUCAUCUAUUUCUACAGAUAAUAUGAGUAACUUGUUUUCGCAAUUGGGUUUCUUUUAGCAGUAUAGAAUUGUCUCUAUUCCCCCCCCCCCCCUUCCUUUUUUCUCCUGUUGGUGAAAAUUAUGUUUUCUGGGGUGGUCGGGAGGGUUAUCAGACCCUUUUAAACACAGAUAUGGAAAGAGAGCUUGAUCAUAAGGUAGGCUCACCAGUUCCUGAAUUACAGAAUAAAUUUUAAAUUUCCCCAUUUAUUAGCAGAAUAGAAUUGUGCUGUGAAAAAUAAAUAACUUUAUCGAACUAAACAUUGCUUUGGUGCUAUCAAUCUAUCUUCUAUUUCUACAGAUAAUAUGAGUAACUUGUUUUCGCAAUUGGGUUUCUUUUAGCAGUAUAGAAUUGUCUCUAUCCUCCCCCCCCCCCCCCUUCUUUCUCCUGUUGUUCUUUUGCUGGGACACCACCAUAAUUACUAGCUAAUUUCUUGGGAAAAUAUGGCCUUAAUAGGCACUUUCUCAUACUCUCGAGUCUCUAAUCUACUUGCGCUUAAAUUAUCCCGGUUUUACUCCAUCGUUAACAAAUCCCUCAAGUUCUUUACUACGGUAUCAUUGCAAAGCAAGCUCUAUAAUUUAACGUUAUAGAGUUCUUUGUAUUAGCUCAAUGUUAAUAAAUGUUUUUCUUUUUUUUUUUUUCUUUUUUUGGUUUGGCUUACCGAAAUGUAGAAUUUUUUGAAAUGAUGUUAAACAAACUCAGGCAUUUGAAUAAACGGUUAAUUGCAAUUUGCUACUGAAUCAUUCCAUGGGAAUUGAAAUAACAUGUGUACUGUCAAUGUCCUCUCCGCACCGCACCCCCACACCACCAAAAAAAUAAUAAUAAUCUGAUACUUUCUCCUGUUUUAGAUUAUAAUUGAGACAAUUACAGUUACCUCUACAAGGAGUGCAAAAUAAUUCAGAAGAAUGGAUAACAUUUAAGUGUUCACUUCUGGUUGCUUAAAGUUCAAUCGUAAGAAGAACUGGGGGGAGGGGGGUGGUGAGGCGUCUAAUGAUUCCCGUGAAUUCGUCUUUUAUAGUAUAGAAUAAACUGAUAUUGUGUGAAUAUGUGAAAUUAUAUUGAUAAUUAAUAUCUCAAUGAAUUGAGUAUAAAGGAAAAUUUCAACUUUCUUUUUAGUUAAUUAAUGAUAAUCCCCAAGUGAAACAUGAUUUGUGAUAUCCAUCUCGAAAAUAUGAGAAAUGCAGAUGAUAGAACGAGGAUUGCAAUAUAAUUCAAUGGUGAGGUGUCCCAUAGGAUUUACCGUGUAAUUAUGGAUGUAUGCAUACAUAUCAGUAUGGGGAGAUAGCCUUGCCAUUGUUACCGAAUAGUGCCAUAAAAAAUAUAUUUGUAUAUAUAUACAGAUCAAUUGGUUGAAAGUUGUGAGUUGCAAAAAGUACAGUAGAACAACAAAUGGUGAUUAGUUGGUUCUACUUGGCCUUAUAAUGUUUAUUUUACGUUAGAGUGCUAGAUAUAAAUAGCUUUGACACUGUUUCUGGAGUGCACUCGCUUCACUCAACUGCAAGUGACAGAACUUAAGAAACAGGGCACCUGAACAAAAGUUAAUACCCUUUCUGUCCACUGUCAUCAUCACCACAUACAUGUUUCACUCUUGUGGUCUAUUAGUGUUUCAUCAAUUUAGCUUACAUAUGCGAGUUUUGUCCUUUAAGUUCUCCAGAUUGACCUCUUUCUUGAAAUUCACAUGUGCUCCAGAUGUAAACAAUACAGAGUUCUGUCUAAUAUCUCAUAGUUGUCCCAAAUUCGUUCAACUUUUUUUUUUUUUUUUGGCACAAUGAAUCUACCCGAUCCAAUUUACUAAAACAAGUGAGUUAACUAUAGUGGCUAUAAGUAUGACAUUAUAGUCUGUCUAUGGUAUGAUUUUAAGCCUCUAAUCAGCUACAGAGAGAAAAUCCUUGUUUGUAAGAAAAAAAUUGGAGUCUCUGCUCAAUCUAGGGUUUUUUUUAGAAAUCAUCAUAUGUGAUUUGAGUAUUCAUCAAGGAGGAAUUCAUCAGUGUAUCGAGGCAUUCCAAUUCAAGAAAUUUGGGCAGAAGGAAGGACAACCAUUGGAGGAGAGCAGAUUCGCAAGAAGCGAAGUCUUCAUCUUAGGCUAUUGUUCCUACGUGUGGGGAAACCUUGUUACAUGGAGCAGCAAGAAGCAGUCUGUAGUUGCUCGAAGCAAUGCUGAGGCCGAAUUCAGGGCUAUGGCACACGGAAUAUGUGAAGGAAUGUGGCUCAAACGACUCCUAGAAGAACUGAAAAUCGCUUCUGAAAGUCUAAUAAAGAUGCUGUGUGACAACCAACCUGCUGUCAGUAUUGCUAAGAAUCCAGUUCACUGUGACAGAAGUAAACAUGUUGAGAUUGAUAGGCACUUCAUCAAAGAAAAGAUCGAUCAGGGAGUCAUGAAGAUGAUAUAUACUCCUUCAAGUCUUCAAACCGCAGACAUCCUCACCAAGGCUCUUAACCGAGAUCGCUUUGAAAUCCUUCUUUUCAAGUUGGGAAUGAUUGAUAUAUAUUGCCCAACUUGAGGGGGAGUGUGGAAAUUCUAGAUAUGCAAUCAGAUAAGAUCUUGGAGUGCAAUCCUUUAGUUAGCUGAUUCAGUUAGUUUCAAAUAAAGAGAAGAGGAUAAUUAGUAUCCAAAUAUUCAAGAUUUCUGUUAGUUUCCUGUUUUACUUUCUAGAGUCAAGGAGUUGGUUAGCCUAAUUGUGAAGGUUUCCUCCUAUUUAUUCUUGUAAUUCACUUAUUCCAGAGAUAAUAAUAAUAAAAAUAUAUUUCUUUUUAGGUCCAA